GGGGGCGACCUAGCUUCGACGUGGCGUUGCAAGCGCACGGGCAUACCGAGGACCAGUCCACCUCGUAAAUCCAUCUGAAUACCAUUAAACGCCAACGACGAGCGUUUUGCUCUAGCCGCUUAGGCGGUUGGACCGCUGUACUGAUCGGUCACUGGGUCAGUGAGGCAACCUCACGACAGCGUCAUUACAGUGACUCGCUCUUGUCAGGGUUGCUUUGGCAAGAGUUAAAUCCAAGGCAACUCGCCUGAAGCAAGCCUGUUCGGCCGGCGUGCAAAGGCUAAAACCCAAAAUGACCGGACUAAGUAUGUAGAACUGUCUGUAGAGGACUUCCGGACGGGGUUCGAUCCCCCGCCCACCA
rnacentral:tmRNA from 1 species